rnacentral:misc_RNA from 1 species
GCCUCUUUCAAUAUUCUGUGGGAGACGCCGUAACCUAAUUCUAGGGUUUCCAGAAAUUUUUGAUUCUGCGAUUCAAUCACAAGUAAUCGUUUGUAUCGCGCCAAAUCGAUCUGAAAUCUGAACCAUAGUGUUGUAUUUUUUGCGAUUUAUUUUUGUUUUUUGGUAAAGAAAGGGAGGGAAGUCUCAGAUCUGAAAUCGAAAAGGGAUUUGUCUGUGUAUUGAGGAUGUCUCGGUGCUUCCCAUACCCACCACCUGGCUAUUCGCUGAAUAGAUCCAGCAAUGAAGCCUUGAUCGAAUCGAUUAAGGUUUGUUGAAACAAAGAGCACUUGAAUUUAUGUGUUUACGCUCUUGUUGCCUGAUAUAAUCUAGCAGGGAUCUAUACUCUAUGUAAAUCUGUAAGGAAAAUUUGUGGUUUUCGUGGGUUGUGCAGGUUGUCAACUUGGAUUUAGGGUUUGUAGGAUUUGAUUUGCACUGGGAUAAAUUGACGUUUUUGUUAGCCGAUUUGUGUGGAUUUAUUAAUUAUACCUUGUUAGAAAUGAGGAUUAGUAUAUACUUUUUUGUGCUCACCUUGUGGAUUUAACAGUAUUUAAUGAAUUCCACGCGAAUAGGUUAUGGGAAAUCUGAGCAAUUUGAUAUCAUUCUAACCUUUGGUAAAGGAGAGGUGAUAAGUUUAGGCAACUUUUAGGCUUUCAAUUUGUUGUUUGUGGAGGAAAUCGUAAUGAGAAGUUAGAAGUGUAUGCAAACAUUGAGGUGUUAAUGUAUUGUUUGAGGAAGAAGUCUAGCUAGGCAAAAACCUGUGCUUGAAUAGAUUUUCGAACUUGUAAUAUACUUUUUUUAAAAAGUAAUCACUAUACAUCAAAGAUGUUUGAGAAAAGAUUUUUGGGUAAAACUAGGUACUCUUCGAAAGUCAAAUUUUUGCAGAUUGUUCAUACAAAAACUAAUUGUGCAUACUUGAAAAGCCAUUCGGAAAAAUUGUAUUUCACACUACUAGUCGCAGCUAUAACUACUAAUUGAAGCUGUUUAGGAUUAUAAAUAUGGAUGUCCUGGGUCCAUACCAUGUUCCUUUCCUGCGUCUCUUUGUUUCUUUCCAUGGUAGAAGGUUUAAAUGAGAUUCCGUCUGUGAAAUUAGUUUUCUUAAGAUUCCCCUGUAACCCUGUCACAACUAUAGAAAGUUACUAUUCGGUUUAGUCCACAAUGUGAGUGUUCUGUAAUAUGGUUAUUCUUUUCUACCUGCAUAAUUAGGGUUCGCAUCACUAAUCCUUUGUUUGUAGUCUUUGCUUGAUUUAGCUUGGUUAUCACUUUUUAUGCAACUUCAUCUAUAGACCAGGGGCCAGUUCUUUGUGGUAAGUAGAAUUGGGUGAUUGAGAUUGUGCAUUCUGUCAUAAUGAUAGAAGUAUAUGUUGUGAACCCAACACAUGUUUGGUGCCUACACUCAUGUCUGUUUGAUAUGAUAAAAGUUCAGUGAAUGAUCCUCAGAAUCUGAGGGAUCUUAAUUGUUCAUUAUCCUUCUGGUCAUGCUGUAUUAGUCUUCUAUCUCCCUCUAUUCUGAACUUGUUAUCCUGGUGCUCUAAAGCUCCAAAAGGAGAGGGAGGUAGCUAAAGCAGAAAAGGAGGACAGGAAGAGGGAAAAGAAAGAAAAGAAAAGAGAAGAGAAGAAGGCAAAAAAGGAGAAGAGUAAUCUUGGCUUUGGUAAGGCCACUCAUGAGUCCAAAGGGAAGUACUUGUUCAAAUGUUUUGAAGAUGAAGCUGAGCAGUUGGAGAGGAGCAAUCUCACCGAGGAGCAUGAGCCUGCUGUGUGUUCACAGAAUUCCAGCUGCUCAUCCGACAGCACCCAGAACAGUAAUAAAAGGAAGAGGCCUGCUUCACCUUCACCUUCACGAGGUGGCAUACAGGCGCAUGGUAGUUCUUUCCCUUUAUAUAUAAUACUUACUAUUUUGGUCUAAUGUUAUGUUUUAUCUGUUGCUAAUCUGAAGUUUUGCUGCUCGACAAUAGGUAGCAUUAUCAGAAUUAGAUUGUCUAAAAAGGGUGUGCAAGGUGAAAUAUCAGUAUCCAAAGAGAAGCACUUGCCAAAACCUGCUCAACAAGUUGCGGAGGUUACUGUCAGGACAUCUGCCGAAAGAGCCAACCCUUUGUUGAAAACUACAAACAAAGGAAGUUGUCCUCCUCCUGUAGCAGUUUCAGAGCCAAGUACAUCCAAUUGUGGGUGGGUUGACCGUGUGGCUGAAGACAACGCAACUCCAUCAUGUUCCAAAGUGCACGAGAACAGCAUAGAGUUUCAUUACAAGAAUUUGAUUGAGAACUGGCUUCCACCAAGUCUGCCAAGUGAUAAUCUAGAUUUGGAGGAUGAUCAAUCAUGGCUGUUUCAAAGAAAACCUAAGCAAGCUCGAGUUGAGGAAAAAAACUUAGGCGGCAGUGACAAAACUUGUGGAAGCUGCAGUUCAUUGUGGCAGCAACGGGCACAAUACCUUCCUGAUGUUGAGUUGUAUGCAUUGCCCUACACAGUUCCUUUUUGAAUCACAUAACCGUGUGUAUAGAAGAUGUUUUAGCUGGAUAUACUGCUCAGGGAAUUUUGUAGCUCUUCUCUGGGAACUGAUGUAGUUUGAACAGGAUUUAGGCGCGAUGACAAAAAUAUUCUUUUUUAUUUUUUAGCUGCCAGUUGCUAUCUUCAGAAAUCCAUUGUUCUACAUCAAUGAAAAUGAUCAAUAUAGUAUUGGAUAUUUUCUUUCUCAAAUCCUCGUUUAUUG